GGUAGAGUGGCUGAGUGUUUAGGCGGCGGUUUGUAGCACCGUAUACAUAGGUUUAAAUCCUUUUUCUAUCA
rnacentral:tRNA from 1 species